GACGUAGGGCGCGAGCGUUGUCCGGAUUUAUUGGGCGUAAAGAGCUCGUAGGCGGCUUGUCGCGUCGACUGUGAAAUCCCGCGGCUCAACCGCGGGUCUGCAGUCGAUACGGGCAGGCUAGAGUUCGGGUAGGGGAGGACUGGAAUUCCUGGUGUAGCGGUGAAAUGCGCAGAUAUCAGGAGGAACACCGAUGGCGAAGGCAGGUCUCUGGGCCGAUACUGACGCUGAGGAGCGAAAGCGUGGGGGAGCGAACGGG
rnacentral:rRNA from 1 species